AGACUUACCUGGCAGGGGAAAUACCAUGAUCAUGAAGGCAGUUUUCCCAGGGCCCCUCUGUUCCACUCCCAAUCUGCCAACCCAAAAGAGGGAAACUCAACUACAUAUUGAGU
rnacentral:snRNA from 1 species